UUUAUAGAUAUAAAAAAAAAUAGUGCCACGGGCACUGUAGCUCACCUGGAUGAUACAAUACAUCACAGUUUCAGCUGGAUAAGUGGGCAUGGCCAAAGUACAAAUGUCGUAUCAAAGUCAAAUGAAAAGAAAAAAAAAAAACAAAUCUUAAAAACCCAUUGGAAAUGUUUUGGAGCUACCUUCUAGCUACACUUGUGCCAAAUUUCAGCUCAAUAUCUUUAAAG